rnacentral:rRNA from 1 species
AUUGAACGCUGGCGGCAGGCUUAACACAUGCAAGUCGAGCGAGCGGCGGACGGGUGAGUAAUGUCUGGGCAACUUCCUGAUGGAGGGGGAUAACUACUGGAAACGGUAGCUAAUACCGCAUACCAUCAGAUGUGCCCAGAUGGGAUUAGCAAGUAGGUGGGGUAAUGGCUCACCUAGGCGACGAUCCCUACCUGGUCUGAGAGGAUGACCAGCAACACGGGAACUAGGACACGGUCCAGACGCCUACGGGAGGCAGCAGUGGGGAAUAUUGGACAAGGGGCGCAAGCCUGAUGCAGCCAUGCCGCGGGUGGGAAGAAGGCCUUCGGGUUGUAAAGCACGUUCAGCGAGGAGGCGUUACUCGCAGAAGAAGCACCGGCUAACUCCGUGCCAGCAGCCGCGGUAAUUC